GAAUCAGUUCACUCCUCUGACAUGCGAUAUAUCUGCUCGCAGAUACAUCUAUCCAUGCUUCCUCUAUUCCUUUUUUCUAUUAUUUCAUAAUAUUGCGUUCGAGUAUUUUUCGUCUGGCUUUGUCCCUGUUACUACUUGGAGGAAGCCAACUCCCCUCUAUCAAAUUACUGCCGCUCUUCGUUGAGUGAACUAUGCAUACAAGUCGCACCCAAAAGAAGGCUACGGCCUGCUACUAUUGGCACAAUGGUCGGUGUAAAUAUACAGCGGAUGUUUGCAUGUAUGCGCAUCGCCAUACUGGCC
rnacentral:sRNA from 1 species